rnacentral:rRNA from 1 species
AUUGAACGCUGGCGGCAGGCCUAACACAUGCAAGUCGAACGAGCAGCGGACGGGUGAGUAAUGUCUGGGAAACUGCCUGAUGGAGGGGGAUAACUACUGGAAACGGUAGCUAAUACCGCAUACCAUCAGAUGUGCCCAAAUGGGAUUAGCUUGUUGGUGGGGUAACGGCUCACAAAGGAGACGAUCCCUAGCUGGUCUGAGAGGAUGACCAGCCACACUGGAACUGAGACACGGUCCAGACUCCGACGGGAGGCAGCAGUGGGGAAGAUUGCAAAAUGGGCGCAAGCCUGAUGCAGCCAUGCAGCGUGUAUGAAGAAGGCCUGAGGGUUGUAAAGUACUUUCAGCGGGGAGGCGUGACCCGCAGAAGAAGCACCGGCUAAGUCCGUGCCAGCAGCCGCGGUAAUUC